CGAACGCUGGCGGCAGGCUUAACACAUGCAAGUCGAACGCGCCCUUCGGGGCGAGUGGCAGACGGGUGAGUAACGCGUGGGAACCUACCUUUCGGUUCGGAAUAACCCAGGGAAACUUGGGCUAAUACCGGAUGCGCCCUUUGGGGGAAAGAUUUAUCGCCGAAAGAUGGGCCCGCGUCGGAUUAGCUAGUUGGUGGGGUAAUGGCCUACCAAGGCGACGAUCCGUAGCUGGUCUGAGAGGAUGAUCAGCCACACUGGGACUGAGACACGGCCCAGACUCCUACGGGAGGCAGCAGUGGGGAAUAUUGGACAAUGGGGGCAAACCCCUGAUCCAGCCAUGCCCGCGUGAAGUGAAUGAAAGGCCCU
rnacentral:rRNA from 1 species